rnacentral:rRNA from 1 species
UACGUAGGGGGCAAGCGUUGUCCGGAUUUAUUGGGCGUAAAGAGCGUGUAGGCGGCCUGAAAGGUCAGCUGUGAAAACUCGAGGCUCAACCUCGAGACGUCGGUUGAAACCAUCUGGCUAGAGUCCGGAAGAGGAGAGUGGAAUUCCCGGUGUAGCGGUGAAAUGCGCAGAUAUCGGGAAGAACACCCGUGGUGAAGGCGGCUCUCUGGGACGGUACUGACGCUGAGACGCGAAAGCGUGGGGAGCAAACAGG